GGGCCCGUAGCUCAGUUGGUUAGAGCGCACGGCUGAUAACCGUGAGGUCACUGGUUCGAAUCCAGUCGGGCCCACCA
rnacentral:tRNA from 2 species